CCCUCCAGAUGUUGCAAAACUACAAUUCCCAGCAUGCCCGGACAGCCGUUGGCUGUCCGGGCAUGCUGGGAGUUGUAGUUUUGCAACAUCUGGAGGGCCACAGUUUGAAGACCGCUGGUUUAAGGUCAUUGUACAGAUUUGUUAUCCCUCUGUGUCAAGAGCAGUACAAUAUUUUAACCUCACAUAAAUUCUGUAAGACUGUACUCAUUUGUAUUAUUAGAUUAGCUUUAUGCUUUCAUAUACCUUUGGAGUCUGUUUUUAUUCGAAAAAUAGGAAGAAUACUAAAGUGUAAUAAAACUGGACCAUACAGUAGAGUUAAAGACUAGUCCGCAGGUUGGAGACCACUGGACUAGAUCAUCACACUAUUAGCUCAGUUUUUAGUUUUUCUUUUCUAUGCAAUAUAUCCAAUAUUGCUUGCGGGACUUUUCACUGCGCCAUCUUGUGGUACUGAGUAAGAAUUACAAUGGAUGUCGCACUGCAAUAAAGCUGUAAUAGCAACGCUG